rnacentral:rRNA from 1 species
CUUUAGUUUGACGCCCCGAAACCAGGUGAGCUACCCCGAGACAGCCUAAAUAACUUAGGGCUAACCCGUCUCUGUGGCAAAAGAGUGGGAAGAGCUCCGGGUAGAAGUGACAGACCUACCGAACCUGGUGAUAGCUGGUUGCCUGAGAAGUGGAUAGAAGUUCAGCCCCAUGCACCCCGAACCAAGGACAUUUUACCUUAAGGUUUUAGGGAUAAACACGGGAGUUAGUUAAAGGGGGUACAGCCCCUAUGACAAAGGACACAACCUUCACAGGAGAAUAAAGAUCACAAUGCACAAGACACCCUGUUCUAGUGGGCCUAAAAGCAGCCACCUAAGCAGAAAGCGUUAAAGCUCAGACAGAAGAAAGUUUAUUAUACUGAUAAAAAAAUCUUACUUCCCUAACAAUAUCAGGCUAAUCCAUGCCAACAUGGAAGAAAUUAUGCUAAAAUGAGUAACAAGAAGACCCGCUCUUCUCCAAGCACAAGUGUAAACCAGAUCGGACAAACCACCGGAAAUUAACGAACCCAAACAAAGAGGGCAGUGUGAACAACAAAGAAAUCAGGAAAAUCCCACAACUAGGCCAUCGUUAACCCCACACUGGAGUGCUAUUUAUAAAGGAAAGACUAAAAGAAAGGGAAGGAACUCGGCAAACACAAGCCUCGCCUGUUUACCAAAAACAUCGCCUCCUGCAACUAUAUUAGGUAUAGGAGGUCCAGCCUGCCCAGUGACUACGGGUUCAACGGCCGCGGUAUUUUGACCGUGCAAAGGUAGCGCAAUCACUUGUCUUUUAAAUAGAGACCUGUAUGAAUGGCUAAACGAGGGCUUAACUGUCUCCCCCUUCUGGUCAGUGAAAUUGAUCUACCCGUGCAGAAGCGGGUGUAACACCACAAGACGAGAAGACCCUUUGGAGCUUAAGGUACAAGAUUCAACCACGUCAAGCGACUUAAUAAGAAGCAGGAACUUAGUGGGAAGUGAAGCUUUACCUUCGGUUGGGGCGACCGCGGAGGAAAAACCAGCCUCCGAGCGGAAUGGGCCAAGUCCCUAAAACUAAGAGAGACAUCUCUAAGCCGCAGAACAUCUGACCAUAAAUGAUCCGGCCCAAGCAGCCGAUCAACGAACCAAGUUACCCUAGGGAUAACAGCGCAAUCCUCUCCCAGAGUCCAUAUCGACGAGGGGGUUUACGACCUCGAUGUUGGAUCAGGACAUCCUAAUGGUGCAGCCG